UGGGGAAUAUUGGACAAUGGGCGAAAGCCUGAUCCAGCCAUGCCGCGUGUGUGAAGAAGGUCUUCGGAUUGUAAAGCACUUUAAGUUGGGAGGAAGGGCAGUAAGCGAAUACCUUGCUGUUUUGACGUUACCGACAGAAUAAGCACCGGCUAACUCUGUGCCAGCAGCCGCGGUAAUACAGAGGGUGCAAGCGUUAAUCGGAAUUACUGGGCGUAAAGCGCGCGUAGGUGGUUCGUUAAGUUGAAUGUGAAAGCCCCGGGCUCAACCUGGGAACUGCAUCCAAAACUGGCGAGCUAGAGUAGGGCAGAGGGUGGUGGAAUUUCCUGUGUAGCGGUGAAAUGCGUAGAUAUAGGAAGGAAUACCAGUGGCGAAGGCGACCACCUGGGCUCAUACUGACACUGAGGUGCGAAAGCGUGGGGAGCAAACAGG
rnacentral:rRNA from 1 species